AAAAAUAGAAUAUAAAAACUUCUCUACUUGUGACUCACCAACGCACCGGAACAACUUUUAGUCCUGCAAUCAUGAAGCAUUCAUUGAACAUCAUCGACAUAUUAUCUUCACCCUGGAUGCUACAAAAACAAAGAAGCCAUGUAAGGACACAGCAUUCCAUCCCUCCAGAGGAUGCAGCAAUAAGGCACCAUCUUAGAAGCAGAGACCAGGCCCUCAUCAGACACCAACC